UACGUAGGGACCAAGCGUUGUCCGGAAUCAUUGGGCGUAAAGCGCGCGUAGGUGGCUUCGUAAGUCCGUUGUGAAAGUCAAAGGCUCAACCUUUGAAAGCCGAUGGAUACUGCGAAGCUAGAGUACGGAAGAGGCGAGUGGAAUUCCUGGUGUAGCGGUGGAAUGCGCAGAUAUCAGGAGGAACACCAAUGGCGAAGGCAGCUCGCUGGGACGGUACUGACGCUGAGGCGCGAAAGCGUGGGGAGCAAACAGG
rnacentral:rRNA from 1 species